AAACUGAAGAGUUUGAUCCUGGCUCAGAUUGAACGCUGGCGGCAUGCCUAACACAUGCAAGUCGAACGGCAGCAUGACGUGUAGCAAUACACGUUGAUGGCGAGUGGCGGACGGGUGAGUAAUACUUAGGAAUCUGCCCAGUAGCGGGGGACAGCUCGGCGAAAGCCGGAUUAAUACCGCAUACGCCCUACGGGGGAAAGCGGGGGACCUUCGGGCCUCGCACUAUUGGAUGAGCCUAAGUCUGAUUAGCUAGUUGGUAGGGUAAUGGCCUACCAAGGCAACGAUCAGUAGCUGGUCUGAGAGGAUGAUCAGCCACACUGGGACUGAGACACGGCCCAGACUCCUACGGGAGGCAGCAGUGGGGAAUAUUGGACAAUGGGGGCAACCCUGAUCCAGCAAUGCCGCGUGUGUGAAGAAGGCCUGCGGGUUGUAAAGCACUUUCAGUAGGGAAGAAAAGUUGUUGGUUAAUAACCGGCAACCUUGACGUAACUUACAGAAGAAGCACCGGCUAACUCCGUGCCAGCAGCCGCGGUAAUACGGAGGGUGCGAGCGUUAAUCGGAAUUAC
rnacentral:ncRNA from 1 species